GUGGACGUGCCAGAGUGGUUAUUCGGUGCGACUAGAAAUCGUAUCGGAUAUCCCGCGCAGGUUCGAAUCCUGUCGUCCACG
rfam:Arabis alpina cultivar Pajares chromosome 4, whole genome shotgun sequence.